CCUACGGGGUGCAGCAGUGAGGAAUAUUGGGCAAUGGACGCGAGUCUGAACCAGCCAAGUAGCGUGAAGGAUGACUGCCCUAGGGGUUGUAAACUUCUUUUAUAUGAGAAUAAAAUGUUACCCGUGUGGGAUUUUGUAUGUACCAUAUGAAUAAGAAUCUGCUAACUCCGUGCCAUCAGCCGCGGUCAUACGGAGGAUCCUAGCGUUCUCCGGAUUUAUUGGGUUUAAAUGCAGCGUAGGUGGAUUGUUAAGUCAGUUGUGAAUGUUUGCGGCGCAACCGUAAAAGUGCAUUUGAAACUGGCAGUCUUGAGUACAGUAGAGGUGGGCGGAAGUCGUGGUGUAGCGGUGAAAUGCUUAGAUAUCAGGAAGAACUCCGAUUGCGAAGGCAGCUCACUGGACUGCAACUGACACUGAGGCGCGAAAGUGGGGGUAGCAAACAGGAUUAGAUACCCCUGUAGUC
rnacentral:rRNA from 1 species